rnacentral:rRNA from 1 species
UCUUGGUUCAGAACGAACGCUGGCGGCAGGCUAACACAUGCAAGUUGAGCGGGAUUGUUGAGUAGCUUGCUAUUUAACAUGAGAGCAGCGCACUGGUGAGUAACACGUGGGAACAUACCUUUUGGUGGGGGACAACAGUUGGAAACGACUGCUAAUACCGCAUAAGCCCUAAGGGGGAAAGAUUUAUUGCCGAAAGAUUGGCCCGCGGAAGAUUAGGUAGUAGGUGGGGUAACGGCCUACCUAGCCGACGAUCUAUAGCUGGUCUGAGAGGACGAUCAGCCACAUUGGAACUGAGACACGGUCCAGACUCCUACGGGAGGCAGCAGUGAGGAAUAUUGGGCAAUGGAGGGAACUCUGACCCAGCCCAUGCCGCGUGAGUGAAGAAGGUUUUCGGAUUGUAAAACUCUUUCAGAUGGGAAGAUGAUGACGGUACCAUCAGAAGAAGCACCGGCUAACUUCGUGCCAGCCGCGGC